rnacentral:rRNA from 1 species
UACGUAGGGGGCAAGCGUUGUCCGGAUUUAUUGGGCGUAAAGAGCUCGUAGGCGGUUUCGUAAGUCGGGUGUGAAAACUCUAGGCUCAACCUAGAGACGCCACCCGAUACUGCGAUGACUAGAGUCCGGUAGGGGAGUGUGGAAUUCCUGGUGUAGCGGUGAAAUGCGCAGAUAUCAGGAGGAACACCAACGGCGAAGGCAGCACUCUGGGCCGGAACUGACGCUGAGGAGCGAAAGCGUGGGUAGCGAACAGG